CAAGUCGAACGGAAACGACAAGAGCUUGCUCUUGGGCGUCGAGUGGCGAACGGGUGAGUAACGCGUGGGAAUCAACCUGGUUGACUGGGAUAAUUCGAGGAAACUCGAACUAAUACCAGAUAAGUUCCAAGGAAGAAAGGGGGCCUCUCUAUAGGAAGCUCUCGCAAUCANAUNANCCCGCNUCACAUUAGCUUGUUGGUGGGGUAAUGGCCUACCAAGGCUACGAUCUGUAGCUGGUCUGAGAGGACGAUCAGCCACACUGGGACUGAGACACGGCCCAGACUCCUACGGGAGGCAGCAGUGGGGAAUAUUGCGCAAUGGGCGAAAGCCUGACGCAGCCAUGCCGCGUGUGUGAUGAAGGCCUUCGGGUUGUAAAACACUUUCAGAAGGGAAGAAGAAACGCUAAGUUAAAAGCCAGGCGUUUUUGACAUGAACUUCAGAAGAAGCGCCGGCUAACUCCGUGCCAGCAGCCGCGGUAAUACGGAGGGUGCGAACGUUAAUCGGAAUUACUGGGCGUAAAGCGCACGUAGGUGGUUUUUUAAGUGCAAUGUGAAAGCCCCGGGCUCAACCUGGGAAUUGCAUUUCAAACUGGAAGGCUAGAGUACGGUAGAGGGAAGUGGAAUUCCACAUGUAGUGGUGAAAUGCGUANAUAUGUGGAGGAACACCAGUGGCGAAGGCGGCUUCCUGGACCGAUACUGACACUAAGGUGCG
rnacentral:rRNA from 1 species